UGUGUUAAGACGCGCGCGCGAGGGUGGACGCCGUUUUGGACGCUUGGAAAAUUCGCCAGAAAAGUCAGUUAGCAAGUGGAAAUCACCGGAAAAACUACAUAACGCGGCGACGGCAACGGCAAUAACCAACAACGAACCAAAAACCAAAUCACAUCAAACCAAACAGACAUUACAAAUUGAGAGCCAAAAGAAAGAAAAAAAAAAUCGCAACAGCAGCAAACAAACGCCAGCAGCGACGGCGACGCCGAAGCCGACGCCGACGCUUUUAGCAAACUGAUAACAUAAAGCGUGCGGUUCAUAACAAUAACAAAACAGUAACAACAACAACAACAAAAAUAGUGAAAUAAAAACGCAAGAACAACAAGCGAGAGCGUUUAAUUAACGAAGAGAGGAACUGGCAACGUCGCGACAUCCCACAUCAUCCCACAUUAUCUCACAUGCCACAACCGACAUACAUACAUAUAUAUGUAUAUGCAUAUGUAUAACAGAGUAGUAUAAAUUGCAUUUGCAUUGCAAUUUCGGCGGCAUUUUCGUAUCAAACGCCGGCAAAGGAACGUGUAGAAGAAAGAAAGAGAAAUCAAUAAGCAGAGCAAAACACAACGUGUUUCGCUCUUUAUGUGUGCGUGCGUGAACCUUGUGGGUAAAUCGUCGUGUGUGUGUGUUUGAGAGUGUGUAUAUCUACAAUACAAGACGGGCAGCUGUUGAUGUGAAAGUGAAGAGGAGAAACAGCAGCAAAGCCAAAGAAGAAAAUCAUUCAACAUUUUUCCUAGCCUGAACUGGUUGGCGAAAAAUUGUGAAGUAAACACAAAAGAGAAUCCAACACUACAAUAAUGUAAAAUCAACGAAGCAAAAAAGCAAAUGAAAAAAGCACAAACGAAAACCGAAAAAAUAAUGUAAGAAAAAUGCCAUAGAGUAUAUUGUAACCAUUCCGUUCCGUAAUCGUGCUAAUGCAAAACGUAUACGACCUUCAAAAAACGUAAAAUAAUAAAUCAAAU